rnacentral:pre_miRNA from 1 species
ACUAGGCAGACCUGGCACACCUAAACAUAUUGUGAGGGUGCACCGGAAAUGCCUGGCAGA